UGAAUAUGGGGGGACCAUCCUCCAAGGCUAAAUACUCCUGACUGACCGAUAGUGAACCAGUACCGUGAGGGAAAGGCGAAAAGAACCCCUGUGAGGGGAGUGAAAUAGAACCUGAAACCGUGUACGUACAAGCAGUAGGAGCACCUUCGUGGUGUGACUGCGUACCUUUUGUAUAAUGGGUCAGCGACUUAUAUUCAGUGGCAAGGUUAACCGUAUAGGGGAGCCGUAGCGAAAGCGAGUCUUAACUGGGCGCUCAGUCUCUGGAUAUAGACCCGAAACCGGGUGAUCUAGCCAUGGGCAGGUUGAAGGUUGAGUAACAUCAACUGGAGGACCGAACCGACUAAUGUUGAAAAAUUAGCGGAUGACUUGUGGCUAGGGGUGAAAGGCCAAUCAAACUCGGAGAUAGCUGGUUCUCCCCGAAAGCUAUUUAGGUAGCGCCUCGGACGAAUACUACUGGGGGUAGAGCACUGUUAAGGCUAGGGGGUCAUCCCGACUUACCAACCCUUUGCAAACUCCGAAUACCAGUAAGUACUAUCCGGGAGACACACGGCGGGUGCUAACGUCCGUCGUGGAGAGGGAAACAACCCAGACCGCCAGCUAAGGUCCCAAAGUAUUGCUAAGUGGGAAACGAUGUGGGAAGGCUCAGACAGCUAGGAUGUUGGCUUAGAAGCAGCCAUCAUUUAAAGAAAGCGUAAUAGCUCACUAGUCGAGUCGGCCUGCGCGGAAGAUGUAACGGGGCUAAGCAAUACACCGAAGCUGCGGCAAUGUCUUUUAGACAUUGGGUAGGGGAGCGUUCUGUAAGCCGUUGAAGGUGAAUCGUAAGGUUUGCUGGAGGUAUCAGAAGUGCGAAUGCUGACAUGAGUAACGACAAAGGGGGUGAAAAACCUCCUCGCCGGAAGACCAAGGGUUCCUGUCCAACGUUAAUCGGGGCAGGGUGAGUCGACCCCUAAGGUGAGGCCGAAAGGCGUAAUCGAUGGGAAACGGGUUAAUAUUCCCGUACUUCUGACUAUUGCGAUGGGGGGACGGAGAAGGCUAGGUGGGCCAGGCGACGGUUGUCCUGGUUCAAGUGCGUAGGCUUGAGAGUUAGGUAAAUCCGGCUCUCUCUAAGGCUGAGACACGACGUCGAGCUACUACGGUAGUGAAGUCAUUGAUGCCAUGCUUCCAGGAAAAGCCUCUAAGCUUCAGAUAGUCAGGAAUCGUACCCCAAACCGACACAGGUGGUCGGGUAGAGAAUACCAAGGCGCUUGAGAGAACUCGGGUGAAGGAACUAGGCAAAAUGGUACCGUAACUUCGGGAGAAGGUACGCUCUUGAUGGUGAAGUCCCUCGCGGAUGGAGCUGACGAGAGUCGCAGAUACCAGGUGGCUGCAACUGUUUAUUAAAAACACAGCACUGUGCAAAAUCGCAAGAUGACGUAUACGGUGUGACGCCUGCCCGGUGCCGGA
rnacentral:rRNA from 1 species